CACGAUGUACCUCAGUGCAACCUUUGUUAGCAGUUAGUUCCAGCCACUGGCUGCUAGCAGCUAACAUGAAUUAGCUCUGCUGCAUAUUUAGACAUGGAUUUCUUGUUCACAAUGUAGCAUUAUGAGGGAAAAAUUGGGUCCGUUCGCUGGUGCAAAUUUCUGACCUGAUGACUUCCCAAAGAAGAUCCCUGUUCGUCCCAAACACCUCUCUAUUGUCCCCAGGGUGCAGUUAGUCUCGAGUCUUGCUUUUCACUCAGGGCAAAAUUGACGUGACACAAUGGGGAAACAUCGGCUACUGCUAUCCUUUAAUGUUAUCUUAUUUGAAGACAGUGGCAGUCAACAAAGCAAAUAUAGGCUGAUAAAUUGGUGCAUCCCUGCUUAAAAUGGUAGAAAUAUCACCUUAGCCUUAAACUGCUUUUGGGAAACAGUCUACAUGUCAGCUAAGGGAGUGCACAAUAAUAAUUUCAUGUUCCUGGAGAGACUGAGAAGUGCGAAGCAAAGCAAAAAUUUUUUUUUUUUUUUUUUUUUUUUUUAAAGGGAAAGAGGAUGUGAUCCUAAAUGGUGAGAUAAUGAGAAUUGAAACCCAGAUCCUCAAAGGAUGUCCUCAGUAAAAACUAUAAUGCAAGAAACAACUUGCAAGAAGCAACACACCCUUUAUGUCAGCGUACUAUUCAGACAAGUCAAAACUAGUAGAGCUUUAUCAUUUAUCUUAGAGCUCAUUAUCUGCAAACAAGGACUUCAAAUGAAUUUGACUUUGUAUUGAUUGGGUGCAGGGUGCAGGGUGCAGGGUGGAUCAGACUCGGGGGAGCCUCUCCUGUUCUGAGACAGAGGACGUAGAGGAAGAUAGAAACCACAAUCAAGAAGCAGGACGCGGCCACCACAGCUACGACCAGCCAAGUAAAUGUGGAGUCUGAAGAGAGAGAAGAGAAACCGGGGCGACGACUCGCCGCCACGUCGCAGGCAGCUCCCCAGAGCUCUGACGCAAAGCAAGGCUGCAGCUCCGGAGGAAAAGGUGAAGAAGCCAUCGCCGCUUCGAAGGGCUGGUUGGUUGCUGAUUUUGUUAGCUUUUGGUUGUCCGAGGGCUGACGAGACAUCGACGGUGGGUUCUGAGAUCCAGUGUUAGCGAGGGUGGAGGACAAUGAGGAGGAUGAGGAGAAGGAGGAGGAAGAGGGCAGAGCGUCGACCUCUACCAGCUGAGCAGGUUGCUGCGACCCAGAGUCAUGAAGUAGACCUGGCUGGAGCCACCGGACCGAACGGAGGCGAAGAACACCUGCAGAGGGGAGACAGACAGACAGACGGCGAUUUUAAUACAAGUCCAAACAGGCCAGCAGAGCCAAGAGAAGGGAGAAGAGAAACUGGAGCAGUUUGAAGUUACUUCCACAGCAGACGGCUGAGCAAACAGAGUGACUUCAGAGGACCUUUGGGGGAGUUUUACCGAGUUACAUUCAACGUGUUUGAGGCUGUGGGUGGAAAUCAGUUUGAG